ACGAAAGCGAGCAGGUUGAAUCUAACGCAUCAAAUUCUUCUUUUUGCCCUUCAUCCUGAUAGAUAAUGGCAAUCUCACCUCUUGCGCAUAUUUCUAUCUCUAUUGAAAUAGGCAGAUGAUGUGUUUGCUUAUGGUCUAUCCAUGUGUCCCAGCAAAUGCACCACAAGCCAUAACCGCUGGAGUAGCCAACCACAAGUUCACUGCGCCCAACACUGGUCAGCUAUAUGACGUGACGUUGCAACUCUGUUUAUGAAGAGGUAGAUGUCUUUGUUUGGUGUCCUUAGCAAAUAGAAUAACAGGAGAGCUACCUUCUACUAUGGCUAUGGUUGUGUCGAUUUGAACUAAAUCACCGUCUUCACUGUCCUGCAGAGACGAAGAUAGGAUUUCAUGGUUCGCCGUCUUUGGUGAGCCCAUUGAUCGUCAAUUGUGAGUUGCAGCGGAAAAGAUGAAGGAAAUUGCAAAACUUAAAGCAAAAGAAGAGAAAAGGAUAUUAGAAUCUGAGGCUGUAAGCAAUAUGCGCAUGCCAUCUACUUCAUUUUCUUUGGCUGCUACCUUCAAAAGAAAUCUUAUAAAACCAAAGGACCCAACUGAAUCUUCAAAUGUUGGUUGUGUAUUUGGAACAGAGUUGGUGCUUCAAGCAGCUGGACAUUUCUUGAGCUAUGUUUGGAGCUAAAGCAGAGAGUCAAGUUCUCUGGUGCACUGUCUGUUGCUAAAGUAAGCAGAACAGUUCUGGUCGCACGUAUUGUAGCUAUGUUUGGAGCUUUCAUCAGGGUAUAUAGCGUUUGAUCCUGAGACAAUUUUUACACAUGGAUCAUCCUUGUUGAAUGCAAGUGUUAGAAGACUUUCAGAGUAUAUCUUGUCUGUGGUGAAGACCAGUUGGAACUUGGAAGACUUCAAUUCUUAAGCAACAUAGGUAAUUCGUGACCCAAAUUUUGGUUCCAUGGGGUCUUCUAUUUGGAAUUAAAAGAGGAAAAAGAAAAAAUGGAAAAAUUCUACUUUCUUGAAUAUGUGAAAUAAGAUAUUCUUGUCACCUUAAUGUUUACAAAUUUUAUUCUAAGUCUUUGUUAGUUGACAGACUACUAAUUUAAAGUGUGGCAUAUUUUCACUCUGUUAAUGUAUUUGUAUAAUAUCUUCAUACUUUAACAUAUUGUUCCAACCAACCACGCGAAACCCACGCGCGUAGCUCGUGAGGGUCCAACUAGUAGAUUAUAAAAACAAGAACUAAGGUUUAUCCACUUAUGUUGUGGUAUAAUACUAACCCAAGACUAAAAGAAUUACAGUUUCCAUAAGGAAUCAACUUUCUUUCACUCCACUAAUUGGAUUAGAGGAUUGAAUUAAACAGUGGUGGGUUUAUUUUGUUUUAAAAAAAAUUUAUAAGGUAAGUAUUAUUUUGAAAAUAUGCUAUUUAUUUUUUUGAAAUCAAAGUGAUUCAAUCUCGUGAUUAUGAAUACCAAAUCAACAUAAUUUUUUGGAAAAAUUACUCAUAAAUCCUAUAUUGGGAAAUGUUGGUCUAUCUAGUCCCGUGUGUUUUUUCUUAAACCAUUUAGUCCUUUUUAUUUUUGGUAUGAUAUAUGUUUUUGAUUUAUUGUAUAUGUAAUUUACAUUUUUAUCCAUAUUGAAGAAACAGUAUGGAUUGGUUAUAUAUAUACAUUAACUACAUCAGAUCUCAUAGUUGAUGUUGCCCCAUUUUUUGGCAAUCAUUCUGUGAUUCGUUCUAUGUCUCCUUUUCGAACCGAGGAACUGAGAGCCUCCACAC